AAAUCAUUUAUAUAAGUUAAAGUAAUUUAGAAAAUAAUAAAAAUUUUUAGUAAUUAAAAAGAAACAUUAACUAAAAUAGAAAAAAUAAAGAUUUGUUCCUUGUGUAUCAUGAUACAUAGAAAUAAAAAAAUAUUUAUUUAUCUCGAAAAAAAAAGAACUAGAAAUCAUUUUGCUUAAUGUUUCACAAUUAAGAAAAAAGAAAUCUAGAAAUAAAAAAUUUACAUUUUUUUUGUUAUCUAGUUAUUUUAGAAAAAAAUUUAAUUUUAGUUGAUAAUAAAAAUUAUUCAAAUCUAGUUUUUAAGGGAUUAUCUUUAAAAACAAUUUUAAUUAAUAAAAAAUUUUUAAAAAAGGAAUUAAAUUAACCAAAAAAUUUAACAAUUUAAAUUUUUUAAAAAAGAUUUUAUAUUAAUUAAGAUUUUAUAAAUUUAAAAAAACAAAAAUAUAAAAAAAAAAUUAUGUAAUUAGUAAAUAAUAGAAAAAAAAAUUAGGAACUCGGCAAAUAAAAUUAUCCGAAUGUUUAACAAAAACAUUGUUUCUAGAAAUUAUUAGAAGUACAGCCUGCUCAGUGAAAUAUUUAACAGCCUUUUUAAGCUAAGGUAGCAUAAUAACUUGUCUUUUAAUUGAAGGCUAGAAUGAAAGGUAAAACGAGAUAAAAACUUUCUUAUUUUUUAAAAUUAAAUUUAUCUUUUAAGUAAUAAGACUUAAAUUUUUUAAAAGGACGACAAGACCCUAUAGAACUUAAAAUUUUCAUUAAAUAAAAAAAAGAAAAAAUUUUACUGGGGAAGUAGAAAAAUAAAAAUUUUUUUUAAACAAAACAAUUUAAAGAACAAAAGAUCCUUAAAAAAGAAAAAAGAAAAAGUUACCUUAGGGAUAACAGAGUUAAAUUUUUUGAGAGACCAAAUCGAAAAAAAAAAUUGCUACCUCGAUGUUGAAUUAAGAUAAAUAAUAAUAGAAGAAAAUUAUUUUAUUAGGUCUGUUCGACCUUAAAAUCUUACAUGAUUUGAGUUAAGACCGGUGUAAGCCAGGUUGGUUUCUAUCCUUUAAACCACAACUUUUUUUAGUACGAAAGGACCAAAAAAGAUAAAAUCUUUAAACCAAUAAACAAAUAAUU